rnacentral:ncRNA from 1 species
AUAGAAAAAGCCAAACUCACUGUGAGGUGAGGGCGGAAAACCACGGGUCCCUUAGAAAUUUGGAUAGCCGGGUUGCCUAAA